rnacentral:rRNA from 1 species
GAUGAACGCUGGCGGCGUGCCUAAUACAUGCAAGUCGAGCGAACAGACGAGUAGCUUGCUCCUCUGACGUUAGCGGCGGACGGGUGAGUAACACGUGGAUAACCUACCUAUAAGACUGGGAUAACUUCGGGAAACCGGAGCUAAUACCGGAUAAUAUAUUGAACCGCAUGGUUCAAUAGUGAAAUACGGUUUUGCUGUCACUUAUAGAUUGAUCCGCGCCGCAUUAGCUAGUUGGUAAGGUAACGGCUUACCAAGGCAACGAUGCGUAGCCGACCUGAGAGGGUGACCGGCCACACUGGAACUGAGACACGGUCCAGACUCCUACGGGAGGCAGCAGUAGGGAAUUUUCCGCAAUGGGCGAAAGCCUGACGGAGCAACGCCGCGUGAGUGAUGAAGGUCUUCGGAUCGUAAAACUCUGUUAUUAGGGAAGAACAACUGUGUAAGUAACUAUGCACGUCUUGACGGUACCUAAUCAGAAAGCCACGGCUAACUACGUG